UGCCCCAUGGCUGAGUUGGUUACAGCGUCCGACUGUUAUUGCAGCAACAUCGGAAGGUCGAGAGUUCGAGCCUCUCUGGGGCAG